GAAAAAACUAGUCGCACGUGCCGGCACGGAUUCUGUAGCUGCCUGUUCGACUUCGCGGAUCACAGAAAUAUACGAGAAUGAAGGACACGGUCGGUCCGUGCAGGGCGAUCGUGGAGAGUAACAGCGACGCACAAUCAGUUUCUGAUAUUGCAAAAACGAGUGAAAAAGCAACCUGCUCCAGGCCCACACUACAACCUGCAGCUACAGCGAGCCGUCACGUUCACGCAGCUUUUCACCAGGAUGGGAUUCCCAACUAUGCUGGUACGAAAGAAUCAUGCUUUGGGUGCUACGACAAGGAACCAUACCUCAGCACUUCGCCAUCGUCGCGGAUGGUAACCGGCGUUUUUCUCGGAAAAAGAAAAUAUCCCUGAGCCAAGUCUACUCUCUUAUGUUUAGGAAGUUCACUACGACUUGGCCCUACAUGGCAGCUCUCGGUGUUCCCGAGGUCACCUAAUUCAUGAUCAGCACUCGUAACUUCAGCCGCAAUACCAGGGACCUCGUUACUGCCAUUGAUGAGAUGAUGAAAUUCUUCGCCAGAACCCUUCAGUGCCUGAACACAUUAAGAAAAAUACGCUUGAAGGUCACUGCAAUGGGCAACCUUGAUCUACUGCCCAUUGAGAUGCGGGAGAAAAUAGCAAGGUUUCAAAUCGGCAGCGAUGACGAAAGCCCAGCAGCAAAGCUUAGGCUCUGCGUAGCGUAUAACACCAAGGUCGGAUUGAAGAACAUGGUGCUGGACUUAGUGAAGGCCGUUCAAGCGGGAGCCAUUGAAUCAGACGACAUAACUGCAGGUUUCUUGGCGUAGUGGCUCGCUGUCAGUGAGGCUCCUGAAACUGAGCUGUGGUUUCGCAGCAGCGGCGAAAUGCGUUUCAGUGAAUUCUUGGUGCUGCAGAGCGGCUACUCGUAUAUUCACAUCGACCCACAGUUGUGGCCCGCCAUCACAUCCUGGAACUGGAUUUGGGCAGUUCUGCAAUUUCAACCUAAAUGGCCGUACAUCAAGGCCAUUACGGACAGUCAUCGCGAUUUGUGGGCAUCUCCCCAAGACCGGAAUGGCUGCGCGAGUAUUAUUCGUCAGAAGUCUUUCUUGAGGCGCAUCAAAUCUGCAAAGAUGGCGUAUCUAAGCAGCCAGUGCUUCAGCGAAAUUAAUCAACCGACGAACGCAUCCUUGCUAUUCUCCGGGAACCAUCUUACUGAAUGAGGCAGUAAACAUUCUUUCACUACUUUCUUUGGCAUGAACACAUCUUUUCUGAAAAGCUCAGUGUUGUAAGGAUAGUGUGAAGAAUAAAUUAACCAUUUUCGGUGUACCUCCCAUACGAAUGACUCGCAAUUAAAAUAAAAUUGACACACGUGUCUAUAGAAGUAGUUCCAAUCUCAUGCCUGAUAUGAAGCUUUCACAGAGCUCAUGGUAGUUGGGUUGGCAAGACAGCCUUGCAAAUUGAUGCAUCGAAAUUGAGGGUCAUGGCUGAGAAUUCUGAUUAGGCUCUAGAGGGUUGCCGGAAGGCCUGCAAGCCUUAACGGGAGGUGCCUAUAUGAGUUAGUGCAAAGGUACAUUUAAUGAUCACAUGCAGCGAGAGCCAAAUAUAUGAAUGGCAAUUGCAGACACUGACAUAGGGUCAUGCAGCUGAUUGUUUAUCUUCUUGACCCUAUUAUGCGGAACAGCCCAUCAAAUGUAUGCGUAAAGAUGCAAGAAGCUUUCAGUUCCCGGUUCAUGCCCUUGCAGUUCCAAUUCUAAAUGUGGAACGCUGGGCUUUCGUUCUUCGCUUUUGGAACAGUUCAUUACUUUUUGUAUGCUUACGGAUAGUUUUUCAUUAUCUAAGAAUUUGAACAGCGGAGCUGCUUAGGUUCACCGUAAUUUCGCAAUUCGAGCACCACAAGAUGAGUGUGUCCUGACUUUUGGUUUCGUUGGCGUGACAUCACUGAAGUGGUUAAGGACAUACCUUUUUUUCAAAUGGAGCAGAACGAAGAUAGAAAAAACGAAACAGUGCAAAAAAUGAGACACUAGUCGAAGGAGCACACAUACAGAGCGCUGACUUACACAUACAGAGCUGCUCAUGCUUUGAUAA